AUUAUUAUAGUUUAAAAUAAAAUAUUAAAUUGCAAAUUUAAAGAUUAAUCUACAAUUAUAAUAAUU
rnacentral:tRNA from 1 species